AACGCAUAUUGCGCUCUUGACCUCGCGUCAAGAGCAUGCCUCUUUCAGUGUCGGUUUAUACAAUACUCAUUGCCCUUUUUUAAUUAAAAGGUAAGCAAUGGACGAUCUGAGGUUGUAUUACUCUUAUGUGAGUAAUUCCCUUGAAGUUUAUGGUGGUCAACACCAAACAUGCUGCGAAGCGAGUAUUGUGCUCGGUUAUUCGCUAAUGUGAUAGUUCGCCUUCAAAGCGAUAUUCUCCAUUAGCUUGAGUAUAAGAGAUCAAAAACAUAAUACUUGUAGAAGGUAUGAUUGGUCACCUUGACGUCGAUUGCCUCGUGCCAAAAGACAAAUUUUCUUAAUCUGACCUGAAAUGAAGCAAGAUUACCCGCUGAACUUAA
rnacentral:misc_RNA from 1 species